rnacentral:rRNA from 1 species
AGUGAGAGGGAAGAGCCCAAGAUUGAAAGCUGGCGUCUUCGGCGUCCGCAUUGUAAUCUCAAGAAGUGUUUUCCGCUUCGGACCAUGCCUAAGUCCCUUGGAAAAGGGCAUCAUAGAGGGUGAUAAUCCCGUACAUGGCAUGGAGCGCCCGAAGCUUUGUGAUACGCUUUCUAAGAGUCGAGUUGUUUGGGAAUGCAGCUCAAAAUGGGUGGUAAAUGCCAUCUAAGGCUAAAUAUUGGGGAGAGACCGAUAGCGAACAAGUACAGUGAUGGAAAGGUGAAAAGAACUUUGAAAAGAGAGUUAAACAGUACGUGAAAUUGCCAAAAGGGAAGGGUAGGAGGUCAGAGAUGCGGCCUGGGAUUCAGCCUUGCUUUUGCUUGGUGUUUUUCCCAGAUUGCAGGCCAACGUCGGUUUUGGGCACUGGAGAAGGGUAGGAGGAACGUGGCACCUCUCGGGGUGUGUUAUAGCCUCCUACUGGAUACAGCGACCGAGACCGAGGAACGCAGCGUACUCGUAAGAGCGGGCCUUUUGGCACCUUUACGCUUAGGGCGUUGGCAUAAUGGCCCUCUACCACCCGUCUU